rnacentral:rRNA from 1 species
UACGAAGGGGGCUAGCGUUGUUCGGAAUUACUGGGCGUAAAGCGCGCGCAGGCGGGUCAUCAAGUCAGGGGUGAAAGCCCAGAGCUCAACUCUGGAACUGCCCUUGAAACUGGUGACCUUGAGUACGGGAGAGGUGAGUGGAAUUCCCAGUGUAGAGGUGAAAUUCGUAGAUAUUGGGAGGAACACCGGUGGCGAAGGCGGGUCUCUGGGCCGAUAUUGACGCUGAGGAGCGAAAGCGUGGGGAGCAAACAGG